GUCCUGUCGGAAAAGAUCCGGAAGGGGUUCGGAGAACGGUUGACCCUUGUAGGAGGUCGGCCAAUAGUAGAAUCCAGAGAGCACUAGGAGCAGCCUGAUGGACAACCGAAGAAGCUUAUCGUCGGAGAAGCCCGAAAGAUGCGGCAGGAGUUCGUCCAUCGGCAGAACUUGAGAAUGUUGCGGAAGCUCGACCGUCGGAGAGGUUCGAAAAGAUGUCGCCCA
rnacentral:lncRNA from 1 species